CAUUCGAGGUUCCAUGUGUAUUUUUCUUUAUUAAAUUAAUUGCCUAUUCUUCCAAACAUUCAUAGAGACAGCUCUUUUUUACCCAAAAACCAACUAAAUUUGGACUUGUAUCUGCUUAGUAUUAGUAGCUGCAUUUCCCUCGUUUGGCCAUGCCACAACCAUGUGAUUGCUUCAUAACCACAUCUUGUCUUAGAUAAACACAUCAAUUUAAAACGUGACUUUAUAACCUCCAUCUUUAUUGAUUUCAUGUUUUGUCCCCUUCACCUCUACCUCAUGAAUACUAUGGGGUCGUUUUUUGUUAGAAUACAUUUUUGUUACUUGCUUUUUACCCGAUUUAGUUUUUUUUUUUUUUUUUUUUUUGAAAAUAUUAACACAUGAAAGUAAAAUAGAAUACACAAUCAUAUUGAUAUUUUGGGGAGCGCUACGAGCAACGACAAAUCUAGAACCAACCAAAACUUUAAUAUAUUGAUAAUAUGAAUCGUCUUUUUUUAUACAUUUAAUAUUUACAUCAUAUGUCUAUCAAAAAUCUUAAGAUAUUGAUUGUAUAAGUCGUCUCUCUUAUAUAUUUACUUCAAUCUAACAAUCUCUUCCUCAAAUAUGAGUCUUCUACAUUCCAUACUUGCAACAAAUAGAACAUGUCUUUGUACUUUACCCUCGAGAAGACUCUCAAAACAAGGAUCCAAAAUUCUAGGAUCCACUCCUAUUCCUCCACAAAGUUGAACCAAGACAUAUACCACUUGUUGAAGAAUUCGAAGGAGUUCUAAGAGCAACAUCUAUUCAGAUCAACAAGAGAGCUUGAUAUUAUUUUGAUUCAAGCCUUUACAAUAUUAAGAAUAUGAACCAACUAUUCAUUCAUAAUCGAUGUGAGAUAAAUCACUCACACUUGAACCCAUUAUUCCCUUUAUUCAUCUAUAUAGUAGUAUGAAAGAAGAGGUGCAUGUAACAUUUUUUAAACAGAAAACAGAGCAAACAAAAAAAAUAAGAAACUAGGCUAAAACGGCAUGGAAGCACAUAUUAAAAGGAGGUGGAUGUAACACUUUUUUUUUUAAAUUUUUUUUUUAUAAAAUGUCACAUAUAAGAUGUUGCAAAAAGUCAUACGUGUAUGUAGUAGAGCAUUUGUUAAGAGAGUUGUAGACCGUGGUAGAGCUAGAAAAAAAAAAUUCGGGUGGACCAUUAAAUUUUGAAAUAUUUUUUAUAGUAUAACUUUUAAUUGGAGGAUAAGGGAGGUAUGAAAUCCCCAUAAAUUAGAAGGUCCGUAAACCUCUGCUAGCUUAUAAGCAUGACAAAAACCAUGUAUGCCACUUCUGGAACUGGCAAAAACUAAAAUUGUUGAAAAAUUAUUUAAAAUCUCGUAAAAUAGACUUAUGAUUUUUAAUUUUAAAGUUCUCUGAAUGGGCCACUACACCAUUUUGUGAAGAUUUAGAUGUACCAAAAAUUAAAACUGUUGCAAAAUUGUUUAAAAUCUCGAAAAUAAACCUAUAAUUAUUAAUUUUUUUUUAUUUUUCCGGAUGGGCCGUGGCCCACCCCAACCCAUGGAGGGCUCCGCCACCGGUUAUAGAUUAUUAAUAUAGGAUUAACUAAUUUAACUUUAUUUAUUAGCAUAAAUGUGUGACUGUUUAGAAAAGCUAUAGAAACAACUUAUGACAUGUUCAUGAGUUGUUUUUAUAUUGUUUCCAUAAGAUAUAAAAAUAACUU
rnacentral:lncRNA from 1 species